rnacentral:rRNA from 1 species
CCGAUCGCGAAGGCAGCUUACUAUACAUGGACUGACGCUGAUGCACGAAAGCUUGGGGAGCGAACAGGAUUAGAUACCCUGGUAGUCCACGCCGUAAACGAUGUCCACUCGCUGUUGGCGAUAUUACAGUCAGCGGCCAAGCGAAAGUGAUAAGUGAACCACCUGGGGAGUACGAUCGCAAGUUUGAAACUCAAAGGAAUUGACGGGGGCCCGCACAAGCGGAGGAGCAUGUGGUUUAAUUCGAUGAUACGCGAGGAACCUUACCUGGGCUAGAACGGCAAGUGACGUUAUGUGAAAGCAUGAUUUCUUCGGACACUUGUUGAGGUGCUGCAUGGUUGUCGUCAGCUCGUGCCGUGAGGUGUCGGGUUAAGUCCCAUAACGAGCGCAACCCCUAUACUUAGUUACCAGCAUUUAAGGUGGGGACUCUAAGUAAACUGCCGGCGCAAGCCGAGAGGAAGGUGGGGAUGACGUCAAAUCAGCACGGCCCUUAUGUCCAGGGCUACACACGUGCUACAAUGGCAGGUACAGAGGGCAGCUACCCGGCAACGGGGUGCCAAUCUCCAAAGCCUGCCACAGUUCGGAUUGGGGUCUGCAACUCGACCCUAUGAAGUUGGAUUCGCUAGUAAUCGCGCAUCAGCCAUGGCGCGGUGAUACGUUCCCGGGCAUUGUACACACCGCCCGUCAAGCCAUGGAAGCCGGGGGUACCUGAAGUUGGUUACC